CUCUCCAUGGCUAUGUCAACCUCAUUUCAUUUCUAACCUCUCGUUUUCUACCGUAGUCCUAGAGAAAGUAAAACUCCCCCUUCCACCUCUCCUUUCCUUCCUCACCGUGCUGCCGCAAACAUUCCAACACUUCCGCCAACCACAACACAUCUCUUGAAUUCAUCGGUUAAUACUGAAAUUGCUCGAUUCUCCGUUUAUCAACGGGUUCCUGGUUUUGUGGAGAUCGUGAUUGAAACAAAGAGAAGAAAGAAGCACCAACAAUGAAAGACGAAAAUUGCUGUUAUACAAGGUAUCAAAGUCACAUUGACUAAAUUGAGAUUAAGAAGGAUCCAACAUUGUUCAAAGAAUUGAUUCACCGAAUUUAUCACAUUAGUCCAUACUAUAUUCCAUUAGGCUUGGAAAAAACAUCCACCAAAUCCAUUAGGGCUUGGAGUAGAAUUACCAUCCAUAUUGUGCACUACAUUCUUAAUUUUCUCCGACUGGGACAUUCUAGUGAUAUAUUCAUUAUAUGCAGUUAUAAGUUGUGGGGGUAGUUCUCUCCAUUAGAUCAGUAUGACUGCAAUUGUUUUUUGUACUAUUUUUUUGUAGAAGUAAAUAACAUGAUCGUCUAAUUCAAUUCCCCCAUCUACAAAAGUACUUCAAUGUAUCAGUAUAGUUAUUUUUUACUUGUAUAUCUCAAUUUUACUAUGUUGUGAUCAUCUAGCCAAUUUUGAUUACAAAUGGCUAUGUCAAGCCUAAUAGAAGAGUAAGUACCACAUUUCAUCUCAUUGGCAUAAAUGUAAUAGCUACUAUUAGUUUCAAGAUGCAUAAGCUCAUUUUGAUUUGUCCACUUAAGAAACUCAUCAGUGGAAGUUUUGUUUGGAGGGCAUCUAUCAAAUUUCUCAUGGGAACUAAUAACUGCAUUGGAAUCACCUAUCAUGCACCGAGGGCCAAGAUUGGUAAGUUCGUUCCAUAACAACCUUCAGAUGACAUGAGAGUUACUUGCAUAUUCAGUUUCAACAAAGAAUUUAGUUUGAUUAACUUCUAUAGAAAAAGUUACAUGUUGUUCGGAUAAACUUAACACAAUGAGAUUCAUAUCUAUUGUACAAAAACCCCAUAAGUUUGAAUAAUUAGUCUAUCUAAAAUUUAAUGCGAAUCUCUUAAAAGUUGAUUUGUUUAAGACAUUCAGCAGGGAAAUGAGCAUACAUAAUCAUUCGUUUAUCAAUCAAAAGCAAAUUAGUCUUAUGUUGAUCACAUAGAUUUUUAAUAGCCAACCUCGUAUUAAGGUUUUCUAAUCCUCUAGCAUUUUAAUAAAUAAUGGCUUUGAUUGAGUGAUAUUGUGUUUACUUGAUAUGGUUCAGACGUUAAUUUCCAUUCUAGAUUGAGCGAGUUUAUGUUUUCCCCUACCCUUUUUCGUGACCAAAGUAAAAUUUUCCCGGUGUGACUUAUGAGGAUUCUCUUCAUCACCGAAAAAGUUAUUAUUCUUAUCCAUAGGCAAACAAUCACAAGGACCUCUCACCAAAUUUUUAGCACUAUUUUCCAUAACCAUAAGAUCAAGAUCAGGUUUAUCCCUUAUAUCAUAUACCAUCGCUUUCUCAAUCACCAAAUUCUCAUUCAAAUCAUUUGCAGUUUUUACUAUUGUAUGUUCUUCAUUCAAAGAGCUUGUUUAUCAUAAAUGUUUUUCGUUAGCAUUAACCUCAUUCCCUGACUGAAUGGCUAUAGCAAAUUCAUAAUUCUCUAUUUCAUUCUUAAAAGUAUGAUUUAUCGUCUUAUUCAAAUCUACAAAGUCAUCAUUUACCAUGGCAUUUACAAAUUCAUCAUUCUAUAUAUCCUUCACACAAUCAUUAAUUGGUAUAGUCUGUUUGGACUUUUUAGACGUGUAUCUUGUAGAUUAUUUAAUUAGCGGAUUCUCAACAUUCAUACCUUUCAACUUCCAACGUUUAUCAAUACUAUGACCAAGACAAACAUAGUUAUCACAAAGAGAGGUAAACUCUCGUAUUCAAAAUCAACAAAGAAUUCAACCCUCUCGUUCCACUAAAAUACGAUCAUGAAGAGUAUCUAACAUGUUAAGGUCUCUCUCCACACACGCAAAAUACCCAAAGUACUUUAAUGGCAAAUAAUGCAUCCUCAAUCACACUUGAUCAUGUGUGAUAUUCAAAAUUUCAAGUCUAAAGUAUGUUGUUCACGUAAACAAACAUAGUAGAGAUGGCUUAAAAUUCCGUGUACCUAAACUCCAUUUUUUGAGAUCAUCCCUUGAUUCGAAUGAAAAUUCAAGAUAUCCACAUUUUCAAAGGAGAUAAAUCCCAAUUAGUAAUUGAACUCCAUAAUUUUAUGAGUUUGUCACGUAACAUUGUUGUCGUCAAUUACAUGUAACCUUAGAUAGUAAUCAAUCUCCCUUGUAAAUUAUUUCUACAAUAUUUGAGUCUUGCUUUGUAAGCCUUUUUAGGUAUUUUGAUCGAGAGGCAAUUAUUUAUUGAGAUACGGUUACCUUUGAGGCAAGGCUUCACAAAAUUAGAAACUAGUAUGUCACACACAUUUUAAAGAGUUUAUGCGAAUAAUUGUUUUUGUGUUUGGCAUUGGAAUGGAGACAUAAGAGUCAUUUGAGGAAUAAGAGCAUACCAUUGAAGGUCGCCAUUCUGAUGGCCUUCCACAUAUAAGCAUAUUUCGAUCAGGUUUUCUUUCAAACCCUAGUAGAGCAUCCCAAAAAACUAGUUUCGUGCAAACAAGAUAUUAAAAUUGCAGUCAUUGUCGGUAUCAUUUUAGUUUUAAUGAUUUGUCAAUUUGUGUGUAUAUGAAUUAUUAGAUUCAUCGCGUAUUUGUAAUAUGUCAAUUAUGUGUAUGUGCAUCAUUGUUUUCAAUGCAUGCUUGUAAUUCAUUUGGAUUCAUUUGUAUUUGUUUGCUUCAGAAAUAAUUAGAAUUAUACCUUUGAGAACUUCUCCAUUCAAUGUUUUAUUAGUUGAUUCCAUGAAAAUGUUUCUUUUUUGAGCUUAGUAAUUUGAUUUAUAUCAAUGUGUUAAGUAUUGCUUGAAUCACAUGCUUGAAUAAAAGCUCCAGAGAGGCUUUAUUUGAAUCAUGCAUAGUGUAACUCAAAUCAUGGACUCAUUUAAAAGUUGGGAAUUACAUGUGGCUCUCUUAAUUUGACUUAUAAGAGUGUGAUUUCAAUCACAUAUAACUUUGACUUGAAUCAUAGGGCAUACUUGAUUCAAAUCAUGGCUUAAUUCCCUCCCUUUCCAACCUUCGAUUCAAGUUAUUGUUUCUUUAAUUCAAAUAAUUACUUCAUGAUUUGAUGAAAUCUCAUUGUUUUCUUGUUUUCCAGUGUGUUUACCCUCUAGCACCAAUUCUCCCAUCUCCUCUUUUUUGUCUAUGAUAUAGAGAGAGUGUGUGCCCAAAAACUAAGAAAAGAGUGUGAUACUCACAAUGAGUGUGUGGUAACACAAUCUCUUGUAACACCAUUGUGUGUUUUUGUAGUAGAACAAACAAUCAAGAUUAGAGAGUUGGUCAAUUUCAAAACAUUCACCAAGACCCUAGAAACUCAUUUUGCUAAGAACCUUGAGAGAAGCAAAAUGUGUGUUCUUUAUUCACCAAGACCUAUCUCCUUGUUGAUACCUUAUGAUUAACCUCACAAAAUGUGGAUCUUGUGAGAAUUAAUUGUGUGUGUGAGAUUCUUCAGAUACUAUUCAUCAUCUUCAACUAUUGUUCAGAACCAUUGUUAUGAGUAUCCAUCUCUAAAGAUUGAGUGUGAGAGAUUUAUUGAAGUUACAUA